rnacentral:rRNA from 1 species
ACGGGUGAGUAAUGUCUGGGGAUCUGCCCGAUAGAGGGGGAUAACCACUGGAAACGGUGGCUAAUACCGCAUAACGUCGCAAGACCAAAGAGGGGGACCUUCGGGCCUCUCACUAUCGGAUGAACCCAGAUGGGAUUAGCUAGUAGGCGGGGUAACGGCCCACCUAGGCGACGAUCCCUAGCUGGUCUGUGAGGAUGACCAGCCACACUGGAACUGAGACACGGUCCAGACUCCUACGGGAGGCAGCAGUGGGGAAUAUUGCACAAUGGGCGCAAGCCUGAUGCAGCCAUGCCGCGUGUAUGAAGAAGGCCUUCGGGUUGUAAAGUACUUUCAGCGGGGAGGAAGGCGAUGUGGUUAAUAACCGCGUCGAUUGACGUUACCCGCAGAAGAAGCACCGGCUAACUCCGUGCCAGCAGCCGCGGUAAUACGGAGGGUGCAAGCGUUAAUCGGAAUUACUGGGCGUAAAGCGCACGCAGGCGGUCUGUUAAGUCAGAUGUGAAAUCCCCGGGCUUAACCUGGGAACUGCAUUUGAAACUGGCAGGCUUGAGUCUCGUAGAGGGGGGUAGAAUUCCAGGUGUA